rnacentral:rRNA from 1 species
UACAGAGGUGGCAAGCGUUGUUCGGAAUUACUGGGCGUAAAGGGCGCGUAGGCGGUCCUGUAAGUCCUGUGUGAAAUCCCCCGGCUCAACUGGGGAAUUGCACGGGAAACUGCGGGGCUUGAGUUCGGGAGAGGGAAGCGGAAUUCCGGGUGUAGCGGUGAAAUGCGUAGAUAUCCGGAGGAACACCGGUGGCGAAGGCGGCUUCCUGGACCGACACUGACGCUGAGGCGCGAAAGCUAGGGGAGCAAACGGG